rnacentral:rRNA from 1 species
AUUGAACGCUGGCGGCAGGCCUAACACAUGCAAGUCGAACGAGUGGCGGACGGGUGAGUACUGUCUGGGAAACUGCCUGCUGGAGGGGUAUAACUACUGGAAACGGUAGCUAAUACCGCAUAACAUCAGAUGUGCCCAGAUGGGAUUAGCUUGUUGGUGGGGUACAGGCUAACAACGGCGACGAUCCCUAGCUGGGCGGAGAGGAUGACCAGCCACACGGGAACUGAGACACGGUCCAGACUCCUACGGGAGGCAGCAGUGGGGAAUGUUGCACAAUGGGCGCAAGCCUGAUGCAGCCAUGCCGCGUGUAUGAAGAAGGCCUUCGGGUUGUAAAGUACUUUCAGCGGGGAGGCGUUACCCGCAGAAGAAGCACCGGCUAACUCCGUGCCAGCCGCCGCGGUAAUUC